rnacentral:rRNA from 1 species
UAGGGAAUCUUCCACAAUGGACGCAAGUCUGAUGGAGCAACGCCGUGUGAGUGAAGAAGGUCUUCGGAUCGUAAAACUCUGUUGUUAGAGAAGAACACGAGUGAGAGUAACUGUUCAUUCGAUGACGGUAUCUAACCAGCAAGUCACGGCUAACUACGUGCCAA